GAUGAACGCUGGCGGCGUGCCUAAUACAUGCAAGUCGAGCGAACAGACGAGGAGCUUGCUCCUCUGACGUUAGCGGCGGACGGGUGAGUAACACGUGGAUAACCUACCUAUAAGACUGGGAUAACUUCGGGAAACCGGAGCUAAUACCGGAUAAUCUAUUGAACCGCAUGGUUCAAUAGUGAAAGACGGUUUUGCUGUCACUUAUAGAUGGAUCCGCGCCGCAUUAGCUAGUUGGUAAGGUAACGGCUUACCAAGGCAACGAUGCGUAGCCGACCUGAGAGGGUGAUCGGCCACACUGGAACUGAGACACGGUCCAGACGCCGACGGGAGGCAGCAGUAGGGAAUCUUCCGCAAUGGGCGAAAGCCUGACGGAGCAACGCCGCGUGAGUGAUGAAGGUCUUCGGAUCGUAAAACUCUGUUAUUAGGGAAGAACAAAUGUGUAAGUAACUAUGCACGUCUUGACGGUACCUAAUCAGAAAGCCACGGCUAACUACGUG
rnacentral:rRNA from 1 species